rnacentral:lncRNA from 1 species
AAAACCCGGCAGCUAGAUUUUUAACCAAAGGUUUUUGUUGGAUUCUUGGAGAUGGUUCACAUAUUCAAUUUUGGCAUGACUUUUGGUUUGAUGAUAUACCACUUAAAGCUCACUUUCACAGAUUAUUCAGAUUGGCUUCUGACAAGAAGGCUUUUGUAAGGAAUUGUGGUUUUUUCUUUAACGGUGUGUGGCAUUGGAAGCUAGAGUAGUUAAGGGAGUGAAGAUCCUUUGAAGAGGAUCAAUGGCAGCAACUAGAAACUCUAUUACAGCCUAUUUCAGUAUUCCAACAAGCCCAUGAUAGAAUAGCUUGGAUGCAUGAUCUUAAAGGUAAAUCUUUUGUAAAAAAUUUUUACUCUUUAUUAGAAUCAACUAUGGCUGGGCAAUCUGAGGUGAGUUUCAAUUAAAAAUCUUUAUGGGCUCCUUUAAUUUCUUCUAAAGUAGCAAUAUUUGUUUAGAAAGCAUAUCUUGAUAGAAUUCCUUGCAAGACUAAUUUACUAAAACAUAAAUUAUUACAAAAUAAAAAAAAAGUAGCUUUUGCCCUUUAUGUGAGAAGGAUAAUGAAUCAGUGGAUCAUUGUUUGCUAGCUUGUGAUUUAGUACAAAAUGUUUGGAACUCGAUUUUCAGAUGGUGGAAUGUUUCUACAGCUUUUCCUAAGACGUUUGUUCAAUUAGGUUGGCAAUGGGAAUGCUUAUUGAAAAAUAACGGGUAUAAAGUAGCUUGGAUCUUGAUUUUUUUUUUUUUUUUUUUUUUUUUUUUUUUUUUGGUUUGUUAGUUCAUGCACUUUCUGGCUUAGGAGAAAUAAGGCAAUCUUCAAUUCAAAUAUUCAGGGUUGUGAUGAAGUUGUAGAUAGCAUAAAAUUCAGAAGUUUCAAAAUUUUAAAAGCUAAGAUUCCUUCUAUUUCCUAUGAUGUAAGGGAAUGGUACUAUCAACCUCAAAUUGUAUCUUGUGAUAGAGUUUUCACUAAGAAACCAAAAUCUAUUUUGAAAACUCAGCUGGAUUAGGAACCUCCUACUGGUAACAGAUAUAAGUUCAAUGUUGAUGGAGUUUCAAGAGGAAAACCAGGUCCUGCUAGUUUCGGUGGUGUGUUAAGGAACAAUAAAGGUGAGGUAAAGUGUCGAUUUUUUCAAUCAGCUGGCAUCAUUGACACUAAUGAAGCUGAACUAAGAGCAAUUUUUAGGGCUAUAAAAUUAUUUUCUCAAUCUUAGUUCAAACUCUCACCAUUUUACAGAUUCGUUGGCUAAGAAGGGAGUUGAAACUCAUGAAGAUUUUCUUGCUUGGUUAUAAUGAUGGAAAGACCAAUAUGUAAAUCUUUUGGACUGUAAUUUUUCAAUAUGAUUAGUUGUGAAGACACUUUGCAGCAGUUGGGUUGUACCUGCA